UGUGUCAGCAGCCGCGGUACAACGUAGGAGGCAAGCGUUAUCCGGAUUUACUGGGCGUAAAGCGCGUGCAGGCGGUUUGAUAAGUUGGAUGUGAAAGCUCCCGGCUCAACUGGGAGAGGUCGUUCAAAACUAUCAGACUUGAGGGCGGUAGAGGGAGGUGGAAUUCCGUGUGUAGUGGUGAAAUGCGUAGAUAUACGGAGGAACACCAGUGGCGAAAGCGGCCUCCUGGACCGAUCCUGACGCUCAGACGCGAAAGCUAGGGGAGCAAACGGGAUUAGAGACCCCGGUAGUCCUAGCUGUAAACGAUGUGAACUUGGCGUUGGUGGGUUUAAAUCCAUCAGUGCCGUAGCUAACGCGAUAAGUUCACCGCCUGGGGACUACGGCCGCAAGGUUAAAACUCAAAGGAAUUGACGGGGGCCCGCACAAGCAGCGGAGCGUGUGGUUUAAUUCGAUGUUACACGAAGAACCUUACCAGGGUUUGACAUACUAGUAUCGGCAUUUGUGAAUGCAGAUGCCACCCUCGGGAGGCUAGUACAGGUGUUGCAUGGCUGUCGUCAGCUCGUGUCGUGAGAUGUUCGGUUAAGUCCGCUAACGAGCGCAACCCUUACUGUGUGUUAUACGUGUCACACGGGACUGCCGGUGUCAAGCCGGAGGAAGGUGGGGAUGACGUCAAGUCAGCAUGGCCUUUAUAUCCUGGGCUACACACACGCUACAAUGGCCAGUACAAUGGGUAGCUAAGCCGCGAGGCGGAGCCAAUCCUCAAAGCUGGUCUCAGUUCAGAUCGCAGGCUGCAACUCGCCUACGUGAAGAUGGAGUUGCUAGUAACCGCAGGUCAGCUAUACUGCGGUGAAUACGUUCCCGGGCCUUGUACACACCGCCCGUCACGUCAUGGGAGCUGGCAACACCUGAAGCCGGUAUCCUAACCCGCAAGGGAGGGAGCCGUCGAGGGUGGGGUUGGUGACUGGGACGA
rnacentral:rRNA from 1 species